CCGGCGCACGGGUGAGUAACACGUAUGCAAUCCACCUGUAACAGGGGGAUAACCCGGAGAAAUCCGGACUAAUACCCCAUAAUAUGGGCGCUCCGCAUGGAGAGCCCAUUAAAGAGAGCAAUUUUGGUUACAGACGAGCAUGCGCUCCAUUAGCCAGUUGGCGGGGUAACGGCCCACCAAAGCGACGAUGGAUAGGGGUUCUGAGAGGAAGGUCCCCCACAUUGGAACUGAGACACGGUCCAAACUCCUACGGGAGGCAGCAGUGAGGAAUAUUGGUCAAUGGUCGGCAGACUGAACCAGCCAAGUCGCGUGAGGGAAGACGGCCCUACGGGUUGUAAACCUCUUUUGUCGGAGAGUAAAGUACGCUACGUGUAGUGUAUUGCAAGUAUCCGAAGAAAAAGCAUCGGCUAACUCCGUGCCAGCAGCCGCGGUAAUACGGAGGAUGCAAGCGUUAUCCGGAUUUAUUGGGUUUAAAGGGUGCGUAGGCGGCACGCCAAGUCAGCGGUGAAUUUCCGGGCUCAACC
rnacentral:rRNA from 1 species